AACGAACGCUGGCGGCAUGCCUAACACAUGCAAGUCGAACGAGACCUUCGGGUCUAGUGGCGCACGGGUGCGUAACGCGUGGGAACCUGCCCUUAGGUUCGGAAUAACUCCCCGAAAGGGGUGCUAUACCGGAUAAUGUCUUCGGACCAAAGAUUUAUCGCCUUUGGAUGGGCCCGCGUUGGAUUAGCUAGUUGGUAGGGUAAAAGCCUACCAAGGCGACGAUCCAUAGCUGGUCUGAGAGGAUGAUCAGCCACACUGGGACUGAGACACGGCCCAGACUCCUACGGGAGGCAGCAGUGGGGAAUAUUGGACAAUGGGCGAAAGCCUGAUCCAGCAAUGCCGCGUGAGUGAUGAAGGCCUUAGGGUUGUAAAGCUCUUUUACCCGGGAUGAUAAUGACAGUACCGGGAGAAUAAGUUCCGGCUAACUCCGUG
rnacentral:rRNA from 1 species